UCGGGAAUUUUGGGCAAUGGGGGAAACCCUGACCCAGCAACGCCGCGUGAAGGAUGAAGUAUUUCGGUAUGUAAACUUCGAAAGAAUAGGAAGAAUAAAUGACGGUACUAUUUAUAAGGUCCGGCUAACUACGUGCCAGCAGCCGCGGUAAUACGUAGGGACCAAGCGUUGUUCGGAUUUACUGGGCGUAAAGGGCGCGUAGGCGGCAUGACAAGUCACUUGUGAAAUCUCUGGGCUUAACCCAGAACGGCCAAGUGAUACUGUCGCGCUAGAGUGCAGAAGGGGCAAUCGGAAUUCUUGGUGUAGCGGUGAAAUGCGUAGAUAUCAAGAGGAACACCUGAGGCGAAGGCGGGUUGCUGGGCUGAUACUGACGCUGAAGCGCGAAAGCUAGGGUAGCAAACGGGAUUAGAUACCCCCGUAGUCCCUGAGCGGGCUGGCAAGGCGCAU
rnacentral:rRNA from 1 species